GCACGAUGGUCGCUGUCUCUUGAGACAGAGGAAAGUCCGAACACACCCAACCUUCACGGGUUUGGAGACACGUAGCGGGUAAUACCCGUCUGCGGCAACGCAAGAGGUGCGAGCAGAGACGCUCUUGAUGCGAAAGUGUCAGAGAUCCCCUCGGGGAUAGCUCAUAGUGAAAGCUAUGAGGUGAAACGGCUAAAUCCUUACGUGUGUGCAAGGCCGUGUCCCAUAAUCGUUCGCGAUUAUGGGAAGAGCCGCAAGAGAUGGCUGGCAACAGUCAUCCCAGGUAUAUGACCAUCCCGAGCUUUGGCUCGGACAGAAUUCGGCUUAUGUGUAAAA
rnacentral:RNase_P_RNA from 1 species